GGGGAAUGUCCACUUUCUGAAAAUAUAUGGUUUUCUGGGGUGAACAUACUUUUUUCUAUCUUUGCCCCACAAAUGAAUGCUGCAAAUGUGUUGGUUUUUUAGCUGAAAUGACAGAGCAUGUGGGGGGCUCUUCAAAGCUGCAAAAAGACCCAAAUUCAUGAAAAGACACUAAGUUGAAGUCCUGAAGCCGUGAAAGGACCCAAAGUAAGGAAAGGAGUCUAAGGAACAUGGGGAUCUGGUCUUUUUUCCAUGCCUAGCAGGUGCCUCGAAUGAAGAUUCUGGAGCCCAAAAGCAGUUUUGUAUCCCUUAUCUUCAAUCCCAGUACCUGAAAUGACAGAGCAUGUGGGGGGCUCUUCAAAGCUGCAAAAAGACCCAAAUUCAUGAAAAGACACGAAGUUGAAGUCCUGAAGCCGUGAAAGGACCCAAAGUAAGGAAAGGAGUCUAAGG